rnacentral:lncRNA from 1 species
GGAGAUUUGAAAUAAUCCAAAAUAAAGAAAAAGGAAAACCCCAAUAUGUACAAAUUUCAGAAUCUAAAACUUGAAAAGUGAUUGAAUGAUGAGAUAUGUUUGUACAAUCAAUUAUAGAGACAGUGAAAUAUUAAAAAAAAAAUGAAACGUACCAAGAUAAAAAGAAUAGCAACUAGUAUUAUGACCUUUGUAUGUCUUCAAAAUACAAACAUCAAAAUGAAUCAAGAGAUCUACCACACAAAUAAUGGUAUCAACACAAAUAAAGCAAUUGUUUUAUUAACAAUAUUUGAGUACAAUUAAACUAAGCAUGCUACUGUCCUUGACAAAUUUACAUAGUUCAUUCAAUUAACUUUCUAUUAAAUAAUUGAAACAAAUGGAAAGAGGACAAUUGAAUAUUAAAUAAAGAUGGAAUUAAAUGGGAACUCACCGCUGGAGUAAUGCGAUUUGUUCGGUGGCUCACUGCUGGAGUUGGAAGAGAGACAAGGAUUAGAAAGGAAAGGAAGAGGAGCGUCUGAUAAUCCAACGGAUUCUUUGAUGAGUGGAGUAGUAGUAGUAGUAGUGGAGGUUCCAAGGACAUUGAAGUCAAUCCAGAGAGUGAGGGAAUCCAGAAGGUUGAGGUUGAAGAGAGUAGAAAUUGCAACCAAAAUCGGUGAGGAUGGUGGAAUCGAAAUUGCGAGGGAAGAAGAAAAGAGCAUCACAGGUCGAAGUAGAGGAGGAAUCAACACUGGUUAAACUGGUUUUGGUUGUACGAACAAAGAAGAAUUAGGGUUUGAGAAGAGAAAGGGAAAAUGGAGUGUACGAACAAAGAAGAAGAAGAUGGAGAUUGGAUGCGCGACUAAGAGAAGAAGAUGGAGAUUGGAUGCGCGACUAAGAGAAGAAGAUGGAGAUUGGAUUCGCGACUAAGAGAAGAAGAUGGAGAUUGGAUGCGCGACUAAGAGAAGAAGAUGGAGAUUGGAUCCGCGACUAAGAGAAGAAGAUGGAGAUUGGAUGCGCGACUAAGAGAAGAAGAUGGAGAUUGGAUCCGUGACUAAGAGAAGAAGAUGGAGAUGGAUCAGCAAAAUGGGUAUGAUAGGGUUUCUUCCUUACAGAAACGGAAAUUGAGAGAUAGGCCAAAGAAGACAAGAGAGCAAGAGAGAAGGGGGGAGGAGAGGGAGACUUGGCCGUUAGAGAAGAGGGGAAAGAAAUUUUAAAUGAGAGAGACUGUACAUGUAGGGUUUUUGUUAUAAUUUUUUUUUUUUUUUUGAAAUUUUGCUUAAUUGGAUCUAGAGAAUUUUGUGUAUCCGGUUCACCGACUCAUAUUAGCGGUCCAUUCGUCCAUUGUUUUGUCAUUUUUUUCAACAAACUAAAUGUUUUAAGCCAUUUGCAAAUUAGAUUUUGAUAAAUCGAUAAUCAUAUUUUUUUACAAUAUAGGACUAAAAAAUAUAACUAAUUUAUAUAUAUAUAUAUAUUAUACAUACAACAGUAUUUAGUUAAGUUACAAAAAAAAAAAAAAAAAUCUUUUGAAUUUUGUAGUUUGUGUAAAAAAUUAACCUUAAACUUUGAAAAGUUAAAAAAAAUUGUUUUGAACUUUUUAAAAUUAUUCAUAAAUACAUCUACAUACGUAAGAUGAAGGUAUUGGCAUGCUUCUCUAAAACAAAACUUUCCAAAAAGACGUCGUGUGACUUUUGAAAAGAAAAAUUACAGAUGCGGUCGUUUUUAAACAAACUAGAUAUAUCAAGUUAUAUUUUUUUUUUUUUUGAGGUGAGGGAAUCAACCUUUCUUCUUCUUUUUAAUCCCUUUUACUUUUAGUUUAUUUCUUUAUUUUUUUUCCUUUUUUCACAAUUUUGUCAUAUUCGUAAUAUGCACAAAUUAGUCUUUUUCUUUUAAUGUUUUAAUUUCUUUAUAUUAUUCGUACUUCUCAACCAAAUUUAUUUUAAUUUUAAAAAUCCUAAUUUUAGAACUAGAGUCGGUUUCGAAUACAUCAUUUAAAAAUGAGUCAUUUUGACAAAGUUAUACUAACUCAACUCCAAGUUAAACUAACUCAACCCCAAGUUAGUUUAACAACUCUUGUAAUCUCCAGCCUAUAAAAAAGCUUCUCAUUUUCAUUAAUAAGACAUAAAAAAAGAGAGGCAUUAUACAUAAAUAUUUCUAGCUUUGCAAUUACUUCAUCAAUUGGUAUCAGAGCGUGAUCCUAGCUCACUCUUCCCUAAAAAAACUUGGAUCCUACCACUCUUAUCCAUGGAUGCGGAAGCCUCCUUCAACCAACGCUUGCAGUUGGUAGAACAAGCUAUUGAAGAACUUCGAAAAGAGCAGUCGGAUAUACAGCAAUGGUUAGUAGAAUUAACAAACCUUUUUACCCGAUUUCAUGUCCAACCUUUAGAAGAAGAAAUUCAGCCCCCAAGAAACCCAAUUGCAGCAAACCAAGAAAGACAAGAAAGACCAAGAAACCUAAUUGCAGCAAACCAAGAAAGACAAGAAAGACCAAUAAACCCUGUUGUAAACCAAGAACUACUAAGAAAUCAACCUAUUCACAUCCACAAUAAUCGAUUGUAUGGAAACAAAGUACUUGGAAAUUUCUUAAACGAUUCUAACUCUUCCGAUGAAGACAACUUGCUGAACAUUCAUCAAGAACCUCAACAAAGGCUUGGACUUCGACCAUACUUUCAAGAAGAUCAAGAAAUACUUAUGCAAGUGACCUUCAAUGGUCGAAUGGACGUGGAGAAGUUUCUUGAUUGGAUCAAGAACGUAGAAAAUAUUUUCGACUAUGCUAAUACACCUGAACAAAAGAAGGUUAGAUUAGUUGCUCUCAAACUUCAAGGUGGCGCAAGCGCUUGGUGGGAUCAAUUACAAAAUAAUAGACGAUUAUUCGGUAAACAAUCUAAAGAUUAGCUGAAUAUCUUAUAAAAAGAUGUUGCCGUAGGCUUAGUGGUGACAGGUGAGAAAGUAAGUUGUGUCUUUUAUGACUCUUAAAAAGAUGUUGUCGUAGGCUUAGAGUUGAAUUUAACACAGUUAAUCAGCUUAAGCAUUUGACUCUGGUGUUCUUAAGAUAUAAAUUCAAAUCCCUAUAACUUUAUCAUGUUGAUCUUUUCAAUCUUCUCACAUACCGUCUUCAUUUCAUAAUCUUGCCUACUAGCUGCGUAUCAUCAAUGAAAUUACCAUAGGAGUCCACAUGUGGUAAUUAUGGAUCUAGCACGAUAUACUGCGUAUCAUGUUGUUGUAGAUCAUUUUAAAUGAUUAACUAGUCUAUUGGUGGUUUGAGUCUUUCCUUUUGAAUCUUUAGGUUGUUCAAUGGUCUAAUAUUAACUGUGUUUAGAUUUAUGGUAAUUUUCAUUCUUUUACAGCCUUAAUAACAAAGAAAAGAUGUGCUUUGAUAAUCUUUUCUUUCUCUUCGGCAGGUUGGUAAUGUAGAAAGGAUACAUGUAUACUAUGCCCAUGGACUAGAUUGCCCAACCUUUGUUCGCCGGUGUUAUUGGCUCCUAGAUAAGUAUGUUAUGGUUGAAAGAAAAUUGUUAAAUUGCUUGCUACCAGUUGUUUCAGUGGGGUCUAUCCCCAUCAUCCCACAAGCAAAGAAAAAUGAAAUUAGACAGUGGCAGUAUAUCGUGUUCUACUUAUAUAAUUUAUGACUUGCUUCUGCUUUUUGUUCAGGACCUUUGAACACAUUGUCCUUGUUCAUUACCGUGAAACACAAGAGGUAAGGUUCAGCACAAUGCAUCUGCAGUUACUGAAAUAUUAUCUUGAGACAAACUUUUAUCAUUUGGACUACUACAUCUAUUUAAGAUUUGCUGAUUUUUCCUCCAUGGUUGCAAUAUUAGAACUUCAUCCAAAAUAAUGUUGUCAUGUGUGUCUUUAAAUUUUUACUGGCAGUCUGGCACCAUAUAGAUCUAGUAGUUGUGCAUGCAUGUCUUCCUCUCUAUCCUCCAUUGGCAAUCUGGCACCAUAAUUAUCUGUUUGUGUUUUAGUUUGAUGAUUCAAUCCAACAUUUAUUAUGGAUAAAGUCAGCCAUAAAAUACAUAUGUUUACUACUGCUCUUUGUACAUUUUAAAUACUAGAUUUCUUGAUGAUUGUUGUCUUUAAGUUGCUCUUAAUGUUGUUGCAUAUCGAGAAAUGCACUGUAAUUUCUGUAUCGAUUUUAUCACCGCUUUUAACUAAAUCUUCAAAAAUCAAGGCACCACCUGGAUGUAGAGUGUUAUAUGGUGAUUCAAGUGUUGAGUGUUCUCUUUCUUCUGCUAUCCAUAAAUUUAUGGAAUGGAAAGGCAAUGAUCAUGACACUAUUUUUUGUCAGAUAAACACUGGUUUCAUAUGCUUCAACUCUGUGGUGCUUCACAGCACACGGAUAAAACUUCCAAACAUUCUGCACCCAAUAUUACCAUAAUGCAUUUGGACACUUCAUUAACAACUUCUUACAAUUAGCCUUUCUAUAUUGAAAAUAAUUCGUUGUCUUAACUUCCUGUUGCUGCUAGUUUCAGAAUUUUCCAUCCACAUCGUUGACCUCAAAUUCUGGUUCUGUCUCUAACCCAUCAACUCUGUGGCUUUUAUCGGAGGAACUUGAUUCCAAGGCUACUCAUGUUUAUUCUCUUGGUGAAAAUGAAUUGUCAGGUGAUACUGGUUGAACCUAUCAAAAAUAAAUGAGUCAUAGUUUGUUUGAUCAUUCAUUUUCUAAUCUUUCUUCUUUAUAUUUAAUUAGUUGUUUAAUUUCUUAAAAAAGAAUUCUGGUUUAUUUAUCGUAUAUUUGGUAGUAUGCAUGCCUCAGCUCCUUUAAUGCAUGUCUCUCACAGUAUAUUUGGUAGUCUUUUAUAAUGUUACACCCUUUUUUUUAAUUCCUAAAACCUUUUAACUUUCCAAAUUUUCAUUCAUUCUUUUAGAAAAUUAUUUUCAUUAUUUUUUUAUGGUUACAAAACCAUCCAUUAACUACAUUAAUUAGACAAUUCACUCCAAUAAUAAAUAAAUAACUUUUUUGGAUCUAAGGUAUUUUCUCAUUCUACAAAUUUAAUUUACUAUAUAAAGGUUAUUAUGCUAAUUGAAAAAUAUAUUUCUCUCAAGUAUGCAAUGACAGAAAAUUAGGUUAUAAAUAUAAAAAAAUAAUAUUUUUAGGUAUUAUAAUUUUUUUAAAAAAAAUUAUAUUUUAAAUUUUUAAUAAAACCUUGCAUUUGGGGAUUCACAUGUUGUUACUAGUCGAACCAAAAAAGAUAAAUUCGCGGUGAAAACUCUUUAAAACCCAAUUCGUGGAAGGAAAAAUUGAACUGUGGCGUUGAGUUAUUUUGUUGUUGAAGAAGAUCAGUAAAAAACCCACAACAUUAAAACUUCUUUUUGUUUCUUUAAGUAUAUUUUAGAUUGCAGCGUAUUUUCUAUUUGGGUUUAGUUAGGGUUUCUCUUGUUUAUUCCAAGAUAUGCAUGGAUAGUUCAUGUUCGACUAUUUGGAAAGAGGGCUUUAUGUAGCACGGGUAUUAUAUUCUGGUUUUGGAAGUGUCGAGAUAAAUUAAGGACUUUUUUAAUCUUCUUGAAACAAACCUAUACGAAGGUGAAGAAUAAUUUAUGCUUGUAUUUUAGUCGGAAUAAGAAGAAACAUGAAGAGAAUGCCCACGAGGAAAAUGACCACGAGAAAAAGUUGUGUAUUCCUCCAUCCUUAACUGAGCUCUCUAAUGUGUAUUCCUCCCUCCAUAACUGGCUUACUUUGGAUUGUUUGGUAGAAAGAAACAAUAGAAUUUUUAAGGAUAAAUCAAGGUUUAUUGUUAACUUAUGGGAAGACAUAUGUAACUUGAUCGGAGUUUGGUCUAGGCGUCAUUCAUCUUGUAACCAAUAUGAUGUUACUACCAACUCUUAACUUUAAGCUUUGUUAGAUUAGGUUGCUUCGGGCUUCCCUCUAGCCUUCAACCUUGUAACUUUAACUCUAUGUUAAUAGAUAAUGACUCUUAUCCUAGGUUUAUCCUAGUUUGAAGGAUUCGGUUUCUUCUUCUUAAAAAAAGUUGUAUUUCGACAACUAUUUGGGAGGAAAAUGUGCUUAACUAACUAAAAAUCUAAUGACACUUCCAAAACCAGUCAUUUCGAAAGAUGUUUCCUCAAUAAUAUAUUUAUAGUGCUCUUCCUUUAUAGAGUAAAACAGUAAAGCAACAAAACCACUUUGAUUCAUUAUAUAUAUAUAUUUACGUAUGUCAUUACUACAAAAAAGGCCUUUCUUGACGUUUGUUGUUUUUCUUUCUUGACAUUUUUUUCAAAAAAACGUCAAGAAAGGGGUAGUUCCAAAGAUAAAACGUCAAGAAUUUUUAUGAAAAGGCGGGGGUAGGUCAAUUUUCAGAUUUCUUGACGUUUAUUAAACAUCAACUAAUAUGUAUUUUUUCUUGACGUUUUAAAAAUGUCAAGAAAUAUCUAUAAAAAUUUUGACGUUUUUAAAACGUCAAGAAUGUUUAUAUAUUCAACAUUCUUCAAAAUUUUCAAACGUCAAGUAAUAUGUACUUUUACUUGACAUUUUCAAACCGUCAAGAAAUAUCUUAAAAAUUCUUUAUGUUUUAAAACGUCAAGAAUUUUUAUAAAAAGCCGGAGAAGAGUUAUACUUCAUUCCCCUAAAACUUCCAUUGGUUUCCAUAUUUCAAGAAUUUGAAAUUUUUAUAAGAUAUUGCUAGUGGAAAUUAAGUUAAUUCUGUUUGCUCCCAAACUACCUCCUGAUUAUGCUGUCUGGUUGGGAGAAAUAAAGUCUUUGUCAUAUUUCAAGGUAGUGUAUGUUAACCAACACUUAGUGCAUUUUCGUGUUCAUGAGCUUAUUUUAGUUAAUAUGUUUUUGUAGGAAAAAUAUGAUGUCAAUAUGGCAUAUUAUACGAUGAAAUUGUAGUCGUUUAACACAAAAUUUUGAGGUUCUUUUUCAACUAAUUAUGCUUUAUCUAAUAUAUUUUUCCAAAUCUUAAAGAAGAACUUUUGAUUUCAUUGGAGUUUAUCAUUAGAGGCAUUACUAUAUUGGCUGCCUCUCAGUGGGCUAUAGGUUUUCCAAUGGUCAUUUGAGACUGGUUGAUAAUAGCAAAAGUUAGAGCUUGAGAAGAAGGAGCGAAGAAAGUAGUGAAGACAAAAGAAGAAAGAAAGCUGAGUGAAAAACGAAAAUUGACAAGGUAGAGAUGUGACAUGAAAAUGAUGAUGAGAAGUGAAGGAGGCAUGACACAAUACUUGUACACAAUAACAAAGCCUUGAUAAUUAAAAAAAGGAUGGUGCCAAGAAAAUUUAAAUACAAAAAAAAUGAAGGUUCUUGCAAGUGUAUUGAUUGAAUGGGAGAAAGAAAGGAUAAAAAAGGUAGAAAGAGAGAAAGAGAAGUCAAGGGUAGAGAUACAUAGCUUUGUAUAUAGAAACUUUAUGUCUAUACUCCACUAUACGUUGUGGAGAAUAUAACAUCCUGAUAUGUUUGAUUCAAUUUGAAUGAUGCAAUUAUUUAUUUUUCUGCAAUAAUUCUACUUCUAGAACCUAAAUUUUGAAAGCCUACUAAUUUUUCAGAAUUAAUUCGAGACCCCACUUUUGCUCCCCUUCCUACCUACGGUUACUUUUUGCUUAAACUUUAAAAGUUGUUUGAAAAUAUUUGCUGAAACUUGUAAAACUUGUAAACUUGUAAAAUAAUUGCAAAAUUGUGCAAUUAGUUUAUUGUUACGGAGAUUUCAAUAGUAAAAAGCAAAGAGAGUAAAUGGUAACAAAAUCAUAUUGUUCACAUGAAAUGAUAAAAUAAUCAUUACACAUUUACAAGAACAGUAAAUAAAUUAUGUGAUUUUCGUGAGAAAAAUGAAGAAGAAAUAGCUUAUAACAAAAGUGAAUAUAAAUUAAAGGAGAAUAUAAAAUUGUUUAAAAUAUUUAUUUUCAAUAAUUCGGAAGUUCUUUGACUAUAUAUAAUGGAAGAGAGCCUUUCCAAGGUGUGAUGUCUGGCGUCAACAACGACGCGCUUAGCACAGAUACGGAACCGAACACCAUCUUCUUGGUGUUUGUCUAUGCAAAAGCCUCGAGUGGCUAUGGUCUUCUUCUUCUCUGUGAGGGAAAUAGAUGAAGUUUCUAGACUAUUUCAAUUACUAUGUGAGAGGUGGCUGAAUUUUAUUGGACCUCUCUUCUUGGGCUUACUUUUUACAAUUGUUUAACAAUCUCUCUCCGAAUAUACCUUCGUCCCCUUAGCUGCUUCCCACUUUGGUAAAAUCGCCAAAGCUUUAUGCGUAAAUUGCAAGAGACCUGAGCAAGGCAAAAUAAGGUUAUUGGAACAAGGCGAAAGUUAUCAUUGCUAGCUGCAACUUUCCUCAUUCUUCUCACCCUCCUUCAAACCAUAUUUUCUGCUAAUGUAUGCAUUUCCUAGCUAGCCUUCCCCGGCAUAUUCUAUUUUAGCUUUUUUCCUCUCCAGUUUCUGUUAUGUAUUUUUACUGAAUAUUGAUCUCCUUUUUGCUAUCAAGAUAGUAUACCAUACAUGCAUGUGUAGGACUUUUAUCCCUUAUAUUUUAUAAUUUUUCUUACUACUGUUAUUGACUGAUAUACCAAUAUACAUGUGUAAAGUAUUGAUCAUAUAAUUAAUAUUAAAUUUAUUACAUUCACUCAUCAAUUUAAGUUUUUUAGUCAUGUAUGUUCAUGAUUUAAAACAAAUAAUUCGAAGCUUUCAUCCCACUUGUGAACAACGACCGAAAAAAAACCUUACUUCAUCCCACAUCGUCGCUGUCUUUCUCUCGCAAAUGCUCUCUGGCGACGUUCCCCCCUCUCUAGCAAAUACCCUUCACGACUUUUCCUCUCUCUCAAAAUUAAGCUCUUCGCCCACCGUUUGAAGGAACUCACCAAAUUUGCAAGUAAUUGAAGAAUUUGUGGUCAAUGAGAUCGAUUAAGUCCAUUUAUGUGUUAGUUUGAUUAGAUUAUGUCACAUAUACAUGUAUUACAAUUAAGGGACACUUGCGAAAAUGGCAAAAUAAGUUAUAAUAAUUAAGUCCAUAGAACACAUACUUUAUUAUUUGAGAAAGUGACAAAAACAAAGACCAGCUCACACAUCAAGAGGUAAAAUGUCACAAAUGCCUUCGUUAUUGAUGUACAUUUGAUACACCUUAUACACGUCUGAUACACCUAAUACCCCUUGAUACACUUGAUACUUUUUACUCAUACACUUGAUACAUUUGAUAGAUACAAUUCAUGCACUCGGUACUCAUUGAUACACUCGAUACUUUUUGAUACACACCUGAAACAUCUUCAUACACAUAAUACUUCUCGUUCCACAUAAUACUUCUCGUUACACUUGAUUCUUCUUGAUACACUUGAUACCCCUGAGGCCUUGAUACACUUGAUUAGUUUGAUACACUUAAAGACUUCACUUAUAAGUUUGAUCCACUUGUUACACCACUAAUAAACUUGUUAUACUUCAUUGGUACACUUAACAAAUUUGAUAUGUUUGAUGUACAUGCACUACAAGAAAUUUACCAUUUGUCGAUGACAAAUAUCAUCAGUAAAUCUUCAAAAACUAAUCGACUUUUCUUUUGCCAACGAAAUUAAGCUGUCAACACACACAGUCACAUAGGUCUGUGGGAAGAUCCUCUAUUGAUGGCAAAAAAUAAACUGUCAGCAAAAAUAGGAACUAUUGAUGAAAUUGAACCAUCAGUGUGCGUGUGUGUGUGCGCUCGCGUGUGCGCAUGUCCACGUGUGCUUGGGUGUGUGUAUGCACACAUACAUGUGUACGUGAGUAGGUGUGUGCGUGUUUGCGUGUGCAUUUGUGUGCGUGUGGUUUGGUGUGUGUGUGCAUGUGUGCGUUUGUGUGUGUGUGCGUACGUUCGUGUGUGUGUGCUUGUGUGCACGCGUGUGUGUGUGCGUGUAUGGGUGCACGCGCGUGCAAGUGUAUGUAUGUGUGUGCACGUGUGAUUGUGUGUGAAUAAGUUGAUAUUUUUUAAUGUUGAGUUUCUCCCAAUUUUAAAACAAUAAUUUAAUUAUCUUGAUAUUCAAGCCAUUAAUAUUAUUGUGAGAUAAAGAUAGUGAAUAAGUUGAUAUUUUUUAAUUUUGAAAUUCAAUUAAAGUUAUUUUGAUACAAAAUCUAUUGCUUGAGAUUAUCAAAUUCUGAAAAAUAAUAAUUUUGUUAUUUUGAAAUUAAAUUUGGUUAUUUUGAAAUUCAAAUUUAAUUAGGUUAUUUUGAAAUUAGUAAGAUUAAAUAAAGUUAAAGUCUUGAAUCCAUUAGUUGAGUCCCAAGAUAUUAAGAAAAAAGUAUGAUAUGAGUUUAUGUAUCUUUUUCAGGUAAAAAAUAAUUAAAAGCUGAUAAAUGCAUAAUAUAAAUUAAUUACAACAUAGAAACAAAAUAAUUUUAGUUGGAGAGUGUGGAUAUUUUGGUAUUUUAUAAAAUAUUAUGCACGUGCAAAAAAUGUUAUUUGCUAAAAUUUUAAAAAAAUAGUUUUGCCAUUUUUCAAAAUGACCCAUAAAAAGGUUGCUAUAUCUCUUAUGAUAGAGUGUAUAUCUACUGGUUCAUAUUCGACCUGUUUGUUGCUAAUAGAAUUGGAUAAAAUCGCAUUAUAUUGAAAUAAUUACACAAAUGACACUUUUAAGCCAAUAUUGAUAGAAAUUAUAGUUUAAUUAAUGUUAUUAAGUCAAAUGAACAUGGUUUAAAAGUCCUUCUAAACACAAAUAAUGUAGUUGUUUUUUUAAUUUUAACUCAUUUAUACAUCUUUAUGCAUAUGUGCGUGUGUACGUGUGCGCGUGUAGGUAGGUGUGCGUAUGUGUAUGUGCCUGCGUUCGUGGCGAGUGUCCAUGUGCAUGUGUGUGUGGGUGUGUGCAUGUUUGUAUGUGUUUGUGCGUGUCGUGUGUGUGUGCGGGCUAUUGCGUGUGUGCUUGGGUGUGUGGGUGUGCUCGGCGUGCAUGUUUGUGCGCGUGUGCGUAUGUGUUUACGUGUGUGCGUUUGUGCAUGUGUGUGUGCUUGUGCGCGUUUGUGCGUGUGUGCGUUUGAAAUUAGUAUGAUUGAAUAAAGUUAUUAAUAUGUUGAAUUAAUUAGUUGAGUCUCGAGAUAUUAAGAAAAAUAUUAUGAUAUGAGUUGAUGUAUCUAUUUCAAGUAAAAGAUAAUUAAAAGCUGAUAAAUGCAUAACAUAAAUUAAUUACAAUGUAGAAACGAAAUAAUUACAGUUGAAGAAUGUUGAUAUUUUGGUAUUUUAUAAGAUACCAUGCACGUGCAAAAAAUGCUAGUUGCUAAAAUUCAAAGGAAAAAGUAGUUUUGUCAUUUUUCAAAAUGACCCCUAAAAACGUUGUUAUGUCUCUUAUGACAAAGAGUGUAGAUCUACUAAUCCAUAUUCGAUUUGUUUUUUGUUGGUAAAAUUGGAUAAGACCGCAUUAUAUUGAAAUAAUUACACGAAUGACACUUUUAAGCCAAUAUUGAUAGAAAUUAUAAUUUAAUCAUGUUAUUAAGUCCAAUGAACAUGGUUUAAAACUCUUUCUAAACACAAUUAUUGUAGUUAUUUUUUAAUUUUAAUUCAUUUAUACAUCUUUGUGCAUAUGUGCGUGUGUGCGUGCGUGUGCGCGUGUCCACGUGUGCAUGGGUGUGUGUGUCUACGUGUGCGUGGGAGUGAGUGUUCACGUGUGCGCGUUUGUGCGUGUGCGUGUGCGUGUGUGUGCGUAUACGCGUGUGUGCGUGUGUACCUGAGUGGGCGUGUGCGCUUUUCAUGCUUUUCUUCCAAUUUUAAAAUAAUAAUUUAAUUAUCUUGGUAUUCAAGUCAUUAAAAUUAUUUUGAGAUAAGGCUAUUUUAAUAUAAAAUUAUGGUUGAGAUUCUCAAAUUCUAAAAAAUAAUAAUUUUGAAAUUUUGAAAUUCAAUUUGGUUAUUUUCAAAUUCAAAUUCAAUUAGGUUAUUUUGAAAUUAGUAAGAUUGAAUAAUGUUAUUAAAAUGUUGAAUCAAUUAGUUGAGUCCCGAGAUUUUAAGAGAAAAGUUAUGAUAUGAGUUGAUGUAUCUAUUUCAAGUAAAAAUUAAUUAAAAGUUGAUAAAUACAUAACAUAAAUUAAUUAUAACGUAAAAACAAAAUAAUUAUAGUUGGAGAAGGUGAAUAUUUUGGUAUUUUAUAAAAUACCAUGCACGUGCAAAAAAUGUUUGCUAAAAUUGAAAAGAAAAAGUAGUUUUGCCAUUUUUCAAAUAUUUUGGUAUUUUGUGUCUGUAUUAUUUUAUAUUUUAUACAGGAGACUCCGUUUGAGUGUUGAGCUAGUAAUGGGAGGGAUUACCGUUGACCCCAAAAUUACAAGGUUUCAUGUUGCUUACUGGAUCAUUAAUGAUUCGUCUCUAUCUUGGGCUCAGCGAGUGGUGGAGUUGGAACCCCCUGAAAGUGUAGAUUUAGACUCUCUACCGUUGUCAAGAGCUGUUAAGUAUGCAAAAAUGGCCUUGAGAAAUCCUAUAAAUUCUCUGAACAGGAGACAUUCUAGUGUAAGAAGAAAUGCUCAAGUCCUUGAAGAAAUUGAGGACACAACUCCAAUUCCUAGCAUGCUUUCUCCUUGAGACUAUGCUGGUCCUAGUCGGGGAGUGGCAUUUACAUCCAAGAAAGACACACAUGUAUCACCUCGUGUUGGCACUUCCAUUGCAAUGCACAACUCUGACAUAUAUAGUGCCGACAUUUCCUUCCUUAAGCUUGAAAAAAGGUGAUUUGAUGUCCAUAAAAAAUUAACUGAGCAGUUAGAUAUUUUCUAAUACGUAUCUCACGUAAUUUGAUGCUCAUUGAUACUGCAUUACUGUGUCAGGAAUGUGUUGAUGUAAAAUCUUUCAGUUUUGAUGGAUCUUAUUACAAGCUUUCAACUCUUCUUAGCACGACUUCUGACAGAACAAAGGUUCGAUAUAUCUUUACACGAUCGCAUAUCACAUAUGAAAGAUCGCAUAUCCCAUCUGAAAUAUCGAUCACCCUUGGUAAAACAACCGUUUAGAUAUUCUACAUGAUUGUUUGCUUAAGGAUACACGAUCAUUUUGUAACUAUAUUUUUUAUUAUCCUUUUUUCUUUCUAUACUAGAAUCAGAAUCAAUUGUUUGAUGAUAUUAACAACAUGUAUGAUGAUCUUCAUGAUGAUUCUAGUCAUCACAAUCUGGACAAGAAUGAUGACCAUCAAAAUAACAAACAUGUGAUCAUCCAUGAGAAUUCAUCUGUUCAAGAGUCACAUCUUCAAGAAUCUACUGUAGAAACUCAACUGUUAGUGUUUAAUUCAUUAGCUACUACUUUAUAUUGUUUAAAAUUGCUUAGAUUAGAAAUAAACAACAAUAAUUUUUUUCUUUUAUGUGUAGGGAACAAAAAUGAACAACGCCUCAACAUCAAGAGCAGUCAGGCAGUGAUAUUAGCAUAUAUGGCAGAGAUGCACAUUUGAUAUUAGCUAUAAGUAAUAUAGCAGAAAAUAUGGAAGGCCAUACUCAAACAGAAAAGGGACUGCUAGAAAUGAUUGAAAAUCUUCCGUUGGUAAGCCAACCACUUCCACUUUGUGAGAUGCUACCAUUAACUACUGUCAAAGGUCUUGCAUUAGUUUUAAUUGGUAUGUGUGCCCUAAAGGGAUAAAAGCUCUUGGCAGUGAAAGACUUUACAAAACCAUUCAUCAAUUUUAAUUUGAAAAUUCCAAAAUACCAGUACAUUGACAAUAUUUAGAAUCAAAGUUCUAAAUAAAGAACUAAAUAUGCUUUUAAUUUAAAAAAUACAUAGAACUUACUCUUAUUGACGUCUCUGAAUCUAUAAUCUACCGAAUUGGGGACACCACUCGUUGGAGACAUUCCUAUCUUCGAAGAUGAGAUUGGUUUGUGGAAAACAAUUGGAAUGAAAAAAAAAAAAAUAGAGAGAAACUAUAUAACACCCCAAUAUCAAGGUAUUUCUCUCAAGCUAAUUUUUUUAAAUUUUAUUAAGAUUUUAAGGAAUUUGGUUGUGGUGUGGAUUUAGCAGGAAGUGAAGGGGGCUUUUAUGAAAAAAUAUACUAAUACUAAAGGUUAAAUAAUAAUAAUAUAUAAUAAUAAUAGAAUUAAUGUUAUUAUUAAUUUAAAAUAUCAAUUCUUUAUUGAUUCACGUGCAACCCCAUCUCUUUCUCCUUCACUCUUCCUCUUCCCCGUGCCCACUGUCGUCUGCCUCCCUUAGCCAUUUUAUAUUACUCUUGGACGUCAGCCGGCCACGCCGUCACCGAUCGCUUCGUCUCCGUUGAAGCCGAAGCACUGUUCGUCGUGAGUUCGAACUCUCAACAUCGUGUCUCACCUAUGUUUUCCAGCCAAGCUGUGAUUCAUUCGCGCGUAGCUCCUUCGACGUUCGCGCCACCACAUUCUGCUCCAGGUGAUGAGUAACAUCACCGAUUGACCUAUCAUCUCACUGGCGUUGUUACUUAGUUGAAGCAGUCGUCGACCAGACCUGAGCCCGUCGCGUCUGUUGAAGUGCCAUCGCGCGACUCUUCACCUUCCAGCCAUGGGUUGUAAGCUGAAGUUUGUUUUUCGUUUGUUGAUUUAGAUCUGAUCUAUUACACGCGUCGAUUCCAGUUAUUCGAAGUUGUUGCCCCCAUUUUACUCUAAUUUUUGGGAUUUUUGUGGUAAGUUGUAUUGGUGAGUGUGGUGGUUUUACAUUGUAAUUAUCCUUGGGUUGUAGUUUUGGAUAAUUAGUUCAAUUGUUAAUUGAUUCUUGAAGGUAGCAUUUGAGUUCUUUGGAUUCACAACUAAAUUGUAGAUUUGUUGGAGUUUGAUUCGCCAAUACUUUGGUAAGCUAGAAUUUACAUUGAGGAAAUUAAAUGAAAGAAAGUAUUGUGAAAGUAAUUGAGUUCCAUAUUCUUAUUAUUAGGUUUCCUUCGUUCGAGAAAUUUGAGUAACAUUAAAGUAAGGGGUUUCUAUUACUGGACUCUUUGAAAGUUUUGAAAUGUGUUGACUAUUUGGAUCUCUGGACUUAGUAUGGUUUACCAAUAUAUGUAGAAGUAGAUAUGAUGACAAAUGUAUAUUAUGCCAGACUGGUAUAGAAGUAGAUACGAUGGAUAAUGUAUUUGUAAACUGAGAAAGGUGUUAUAUAUAUAUAUAUAUCUUGACUGUCUGGUGUGUUGUUAUAGUAUCAGCUGAUUUUGUGAUAGAUUGAAUAGAUUGAACGUAAGUGUGUUAAGUUGGAUUGAUGAUAUGAUGGAGUAGUUUGACUAUACUAGGAAUGGAUUGAUUAAAUGUUUAGGUCUUGAGAAAUUGAAAAUAAAUUGAAAAGAAGAGAGAGAUAAGCCUGAGGGAGAAAUAUUCAUUUCCUUUUCAAAGUAAAUUGCAAAGAAAUUUUCUCAAAUUGAAAAGAAAGGAGAAAUAUACAAAGUCAGCCACCACUUCUUCUCCCUUCAGUUUGCAGUUUUCGUCUCCCUCUCUUCUAUCAUUAAAAUAAAUAAAUAAAAUAUCACAACCCGACUUAACACAAACUAUUUACUCCAACUUUUUAAACUACAAAUUUAAUUUCUCAACUUUUAAACUAUUUUAAACUUAAAACAUAAAAUUGAAAGGCCUAUUAAACAAUUGAAAGGUUUAAGAGGUAACUAGACAAACUUUAAAAGUUCUAAGGGAAAGAAUCUUUUGUUUAACUAUUACAGUAAUUAAUUUUGAAAAUAUGUUAUUUUAGAAAAACUACAAGUGUUUGAUAACUCUUUGAAAGAUAUUGAAAUACUCUCAAAUUGUAUUUUAAGCAAUUUUAAUAAAAAGAAAGUCUACAUAAAAAAAUUACCCUUUUUAAAGGAACGUUUUUUCUCUAAUCACUCCAAUGGAACUCAAACACGUACUUCAAGUUAAUUCUGGUAUCCAAGAAUCAGUCUCAUCUAACAUAAACAAGAACAUUCAACUUGAUAGAACUUCAUUACCUCAUUUUUACAAUUCCCAAAGUUACUAAAUGAAGGACCAUUCCUAAAACAUACUUACAUCCAACUUUCUCCAUGAAUAAACGUAUCGUCUUUUAUGUACUGAUGAAUAUAGAGAUGGAGCGAUCAAAGUUUGUUUAUGUACCAAAUUAGAGUGAGUUGAGAAAAGAGUGGAUUUACACAAGGACGAAAUGGCUGGCUGCUGCUUAUUCAAAACAGAAAGUUAGGGUGACCUUGUUUCUCAUAGGGACUCAGCAAAUUGAGGGGCCUCCAAGUCUACUUCUUGUCUCAUUAUACAUGCCAUUAGCCAUUCAACGUUGAAAGUCCAUAUCCCUUUUUCUACGGCCACCAAGGCUUCCUCCACGUCUUCCUCACAAGCCUCAAAGAUCGUCUUCCAUACGUUGUUUACUUUAUCUAGCUCAUGAAUCACCUAAAUUUUCAAGCAUAAUGAAUUUGCCAAAUGAGAGAAAAAAUUAUGUAUAUACUACAAGGAAAUUGCAAGAAUUCACCCUAUCAAAAAAUAUUAAACAAAUUCUUGUUCUAUUCCCUAAAAUUUUCCAUCUUUUCCCAACUUCCAAAAUUCUUCCUAUGAGAUAUAUUCCAAUCACAUAUAGCAGAAAUGACCGAUGAGUAUUGGAUAAAUGAAUAUUAAUUGAUAAAAUAAUUUACAAAAUACUAAAACCAUUAGUUGGCUACGUUUUGGAAGCUCGAUGACUAAAAUGGAUGUUUUGAAAGUUCUAAGGCUAAAAUGGAAUUUAAAUCAACAUAAUAGUAAGUUCAAGAUCAAAGACAAGCUAAACAAUAAAAUGUUGCGACCAGAAAACAAUCUAAUCAUAAUUAGAAACAUGGAUGUAUGUAUUUGUACACCAAAUCACAAAAAAUAACUCCAGAUUUCGAUCUAGAGACAAUUAAAAACUUGAACAAAUUUGAUAAUUAAAGAAACACGGAGAUGGCCAUAUGACCCCUUGUGCAUAGACUUUUUACAUUACAUGCUCAAUUCCUAGGAUCAAAACAAACAUAAAUAUUAAAGACUUAAGAAGCACAUACACUCAAGUUUGGCUAGUGUAUCAAUAAACAAUAUGUAUGGAACACUCGGAGAACACGUGUUGAACACUAGUUAGUACAGUAGAUGUGUUAGACAACAAGUAUUCCAAUGCAAUAAAGGUCAAGAUUGGUCACACACACAUAUUAAACUCUUGGCUUUGAAUAAGUUUUGAGUGAAGGACAAGCUUAUUUUUAAGCAUAUAAAUACAUAAACUUAUUGACUUUGAAUUUCUAUAUAAAUAUGAUACAUACUUUUUAAAUUAUAUAUAUUAAAACUGUGUUCUAGCACUAUCCUAUAUUUUUUAGAAAAAAAUGACACGUCACCAUGUCUAUGAUUUAUUGACCCAUGUCUAGAAUUCGUAUACGUGCUUGUUUGUUGAGAACUUCACGUCUUCAUUAGAUGGGAGGAUAGCCAUAUUAUAGUGGUUGUAUAUGUAAUAUAGAGAACCAAACCUAGUACUCGAGAUUUGUACAAUAACAGAGAACUUACAUUUCCACCGGCUGACUUGACUAUCAGGGAUAGAGUUUUAGGUGGUGGUUGAGCGUGAGCUGAUAUGCAAACAUCAUACCCUUCAAAUAAAGCUCAAGAACAUGCUUUUGCCCUGAGAACUGCAGCUUUUAGGCUGGCUCGAUACUUCGAUAUGUAGUCAUCAUCAUUUAGUAUGUAAGGCAACUCGUCUGCAGAUCAAUAAGGAAUUAAUCAAUCACAAAAAAUUAGGUAGGAUGAAAAACAUAAGUGGAAGAAAAUACAUUACGCUUUGAUACUAGCAAGCCAUUCGAACUUACCAACAAAUCUGCCUUCCCGGUAGCUUUCCUUUAACCAACUGGAGGAGACAAUCCAAGCUCUGAGUAAUUUGCAAUUAACUUGCAAUUUUAGUAACAAGAUAUAGUAAAAAUUAUGAGCAAGAGCACACUGAACACGCUUGAAGCCACAUGGUAAUGCAUAUGCUCGAUAAUCAUUGAGAACAUUAACAGAGAGAAAAUAAAGUUAAGAACAGUAGCUUGAAGAAUAAAAAACAUUCUACAACAUAAAAUCUUCAAAAACACAUUGCUUAAAAUCAAGUUUACUAAUAUAAAAGGUAAGAUAUUACGUUCCACUCUCCACACUACUGAAGUUCAACAUUUCACAUGAAAGAAAUGAAAUACUACUCUCAAAUAUAACUGAAAAAAGCAUAAAUGGGUAAAGAAAAAGCAUAGAGAAAUGCAAAAGAAUCCUUGGCUUUGAUAUAUUGAAAGGUAAAGAAUAUCAACCAUAGAUGUCCGGGAGAAGAACUCCUACAAAUACACACUUAACGCAGAUUAUCAUUCGCUAACAUGAGACCUUCUAGAGGAAUUCUGUUAGGAUACUUCCUAACAAGAACAAGAUCUUAAUUUAUUAUAAUGAACUAUAAGAAAAUACAAGAUAAAACCAAGUAUAAGGCACUUGGAACCUCCCUCUUGAGUACUCUCACCCAAGCCCUAGAUCACUCCCCAGAAUUCUCCCCUCACUUACCCUCCCUCCAUUUAUAAUAAGAUGUAACCACACUUACAUAAUAACUACUAGUAACUUUCUAAAUAUCUAAUUACCCUUAUACCCCUAACCUUAUACUAAUCUAGGUAUCUAACAUUACCCGAUCCUUCAAAACACCUUGUCCUCAAGGUGUGCUUACAAACAUGAUCAAGGCCCCUUUCUCUUUUUUUCUCUUUUUAAUUGCAAACAAUCCCCAGCAUUCUGCUCUUCAAUGUUGAAAAAGAAAUCCUCCCCUUCGGCUUUGAAAAACUCUCGAUUCCAAUAAGGUCCAUUGACUUCAGCCCACAAAGCAGCCCAAUGUACUUGAAUUUUCCUUUUCCAAAACACAUUGUCUUAGUUAACCCUUUGCAUAUCACCAACAAGUGUUUAAUUUUCAAACUCUUCAUCUCUAGUGGGCUAGUCCAUAAUCAAAGUGUUGCAUCAAGACCAAAAUCAUACUGCCGUCGGUUUCAUUCCUAGGACCCACCUACAUACACCUUUUUCUUCCCUCCUAUUUUUGGAACUCUCCACCCACUUCAUCUACAAAAUGAUGUGCCCCCAAUGUUUUAUUUAGAAUAAGUUGAAGCCCACUUGAAAUAGUAAAACCCAAGAUUGUUCCUUUUGUCCUAAUCCUCUUUCCUACCAAUUUCUACCCCAGUCCAUUUGGUCACGUGAUUCACCCCUAUUCCAGACCACCUUCUCGAGCCUCUGUAGACCGAUAACUGUCGGCUUCUUCUUUCUCCAUUGCAACCAGCCAUUUUGUGUUUCUUUGAGCAACAAAUUUUUCUUCACUCGAGUCUUCAUUUCGAGCCUCACAGGUAAUCCUCGUCGACCUUCCUCUAUAGUUUCUUCUUGGUCACUCUUUGCCAUCCUCUUCACCUUCGUUGUAUAACCGUUGCAAUCGCGUUUUCCUCGAUUCUUCUAUGGAUUCACAACCUUCUUGGAAUCCAUCGAUUUAUGGACCUGAAGAUUCCAAUCCGUUCUAAAUAAACACAAUCCAGAUCAGUGCCACUGAACACAGGCAUUUCAACCUUCUUGAAUUUGCUAUGAUCGUUCGAGUUUUCAUCCCUUUCAAACUUGUUUGUUUUACCUUCUACCUUGAUUUCCUUCAAUGUCUUACCUCCACCUUCGAUGAUACUCUCAAUCGUUGGUCCUUUGCUCGACGAUCCUUCCAUUCUUCCGGAGAUCGUCGAAUUAUCCUUCUGCUAUUCCUUCGAUGCAUUUAGCAACCGUUCUUGUUUUUCCAACUAGAUGACCAAUCUUUCGAUGCUUUUUGGCAAGGAUAACAAGUUUUCUUCAAUUGCCAGCAACUUGUGUAACUCCACUUGUAUCCCUGAGAUUUCCUUAUCAGAGGUCUCCAACUUCUCUUCGAUCUGUUUUUGUGCUGCUCUAUCGUUCUCCCAAGUAAAAACGCUCUGAUACCAAUUUGUUAAGAUACUGUAAAUAUACGGCAAGUGUAUCUUACUUUAUUGAAUUACCUCAACGAAUUACAGUAUAGAGAAUAAAAAAUCACUCACAUCUACUUCCUAAAGGCACACUCCAGUGAGGAUCACAACAAAGAACAAGAAAAACUAAGAACAAACCGCAACCAUGAAAAUGACCAAAACAAACAAUAAAAAGAACUUGACUUGGACCCUCUACUUCUCCCGAGCACGAAAGACGGCAGCCUCUACUUCUUUGGAAUAUUUUGUCCCCUUUCUCCCUCCUCUUUCCUCCCUUUUAUUUUGCUUUACUAACAAAACUAAUGGGAAAGAUCUCCUCCGAUAUUCUCUCCUCCUAUAAUCUUUCCUAUAUUCUCGUGUGGGUCAAUAUUACCCUUUUUAAUUCUUCUACUGUAUUUAAAUAAUAUUGGAGACAUAUACUUCCUAACAAGAACAAGAUCUGAAUUUAUUAUAAUGUAACUAUAAGAAAAUACAAGAUAAAACCAAGUAUAAAGCACUUGGAACCCUCCCUCUUGAGUACUCUCACCCAAACCUUAUAUCACUCCCCAGAAUUCUCCCCACUUACCCUCCCUCCAUUUAUAAUAACAUGUAACCACCCUAGUUACCACACUUACAUAAUAACUACUAGUAACCACACUUACACAAUAACUACUAGUAACUUCCUAAAUAUCUAAUUACCCUUAUACCCCAACCCUAUACUAAUCUAGGUAUCUAACAAAUUCCAUAACAUAAUGUAUUAGGGGAAGAAGGAAAUCGAGGAUAAAAACACUAGCUAGCCAACAAAUAUCUUUCAUUAGUGAGCUUGAGCCAUUUUACACGUAAAAUGGGAAAAGUAAGCCUGAAACCCAAAUUAGCCUAAUGGUUGUCUUAACAACCACUACCCACCAUCACGAUAGAAACAACUGAAAAGGAAGAGCAUGAUACAAUCCAACUCAAACAUAAGAAUUGAUUUUGAUGUUUAACUAAAAGUAAACAGGCAGUAGAAUAAGAAACUAUGCCCUUUUAGAUCUAGAAGGUUCACAACAAUUUCCAGCCUAAGCACAACUACGAGGCAAUGGAAGAAUAACGGCAAAGGCCUUGUGUGCAUGGAAUCGCUAACUUUGGUGCAAAUGAGAUGAUUAUCGGUAUUCAAAGGCCAAAAGGACACAUAGAAGAGUGUUCGUCUAAGGUUGCAAGACUAACCCUGAGAGCAAUACAAAAAUUUAGAGUUUUCCGCACUUUUCCUGUAAUGACAUGAGUGCUUGUACUCCCAUCAGCAGUGAGAGAACCACCAAGUUCCUCAAUCAUCUAAAUCAGAAAACAACUGCACAUUAGAGCAGUCACAAUUUGGAAUAAAAAGAACUUUUUAUUGUUAGAAUCUUAGAAUAUUUAUGAAAAGUUUAUGGGAAUAUUUUUCUUAAUUCCUAAAUAUUUUCCUUUUUUAUUCCUCUGUAUAUUCUAUUUAUUCUCCCUUGUACCUAUUGUAUUUUUCAUCAGAAAAUAAUAAGAAGAAAAAUAUAGUGGUUUUUCUCCUGGUACACAGGUUUCCACGUAAAGUUGUGUGUUUGUUUGUCUCCCUUUCAAUAUGGUAUCCGAGCAGGUGGUCCAAGAAGGUCUUGUGUUCAAGCCUCGCAUUUUCGUUUCCUCCCCAAUUAAAAUCCAUUUCCAGUUGUUGGGCCUUUCAAAUAUUUCAAGCCCACAAGUGAGGAGAGUGUUGGUGAUAUAUAAUUGAAUUUUCUUUCUUUUUUUAAAAAAGGAUACGAGUCUCACUAUUAUUAAUAUAAAGAAAGAGACAAAGCUCAAUGUACAUGAGGAUUAUACAAAGAGCAAAAGGGGAGAGGGAAGAUCAACAGGCGCAUCCGGGCAUCUCAAACUAGGUUGACACCCCCUUAGUGCCCUCAAAACAUCCAAAAAGCGACAACACAAGAUCAAAACAAAAAGCCACAAAAACAAAGACAAACAAAAUGAUAAAAAGAAUCUUUCCAAAGCAAAAUCAUAAUCAAAGGCAGCAUGCUGAGAACAAAGAAGAAUAAGCCUUGAUUGGUUGAGCAAAAACUGUUUGAAGCAGAGGGCUGAUCCGAAAGUCCUGAUCAUCAAAGACUUCAAAGUGGGGAUGCUGUAAAGGCUGGCCAAUAUAACACAAUAUCCUACGUCGAAGAUCUUCUUUUGCAUUACAUUUUCUAAAAUUUCCAAUCCACUCUGUUAAAGGCCUUUUCAAGGUCUAAUUUAAUGAUCCAUCUUUUCUUUUUUCGGAUAAUAUAUACCUCCAAAGUUUCUUUUGCUAUUAAAAUAGGAUCCAAGAUUUGGCACUCUUCCAGAAAGCCACAUUGUAAUGGAGAAAUAUCUUAGGAUUCUAACAAUAAAACACAAAAUAUCCUAACCAAAUGGCUAAACAGAGGCAGCACUCUGUAAUUCUUUAUUUAUGUAAAAGCCAAAACACAUUCAACAAUAGUAGAUAUGAAAAAUAAAGGAAGAACAACAUAGAAAACUUACCCAGCUCCUUUAUACAGGGCUGGAUACCCUCAGGCUACAGCAGCCUUUACUCUCCUUGAAAUAACCAAAAAAGACCUAGCCUCCCCUACCCCAACAUUACAUGUUUAUACCUCUCUCUCUCAUCCCUCCUAGUGGGCCCCACCUGCACGAUCCUCUCCCAUUAUUCUCUCAUCAUUGGUUGCUAAGGAAUUUCCCUUUCUACCCUUCCUUUUAUAGGUAUAGAUAAUAGGAGGUCUUACAAAGUAAUACCUGGCCUGGCUUUCUUUAAUCUUUCUGCGAGAACCUUUCCAAACAACUUAUAAAUUAAUGUUGAAACAACUUAUAAGCCACACUGUAAUGACCUUCCUUCUCUUGACCGAACUUCAAUAAUCGACAACUUAUAUUUAUCCACAUAAUCAGCAAAACUCUUAAUCUGCCACUAGCUUCAAACAAAGACCCAGCCAAUUCCUUUUGAACUCCAUAGUGCCUUUAUAAUACAACUGGCAAUCUCUUCUCUUUUGGUCUCCGGAAUCAAUGCUCUAUCUGGAUUAGCUUUCUUCAAAAGAUUUUUAAUAGCCAAUUGUUUCGAAUGGCCCAUGAAUCCUCUAGUGUUCCAUGAUAUAAUCUUCAUCUUUGCUACCUCUGCCUUAUAUCAAUUCAAUUUCACAUGCUGCCAAGAAAGGAACCAACUCUUGAGGGGGAAGGAUACUUGCUGACCUGCACAAAAUUUCUUUUUAUGGGGAGGAAAACAAUUUAAUAAAAUCUGGACCGAGAGAGUCACUGUCCUCUUGUUUCUCUGUCUCUGAUUGAAUUAUUUCUUCCUCAACUGGUUCAAAUUCUGCACUACUUACACUGGUGACUGAUUCAACUUCCAUGAAUUCAUCUUCUAGGUUCUCAACUUUUUUGAGACAAGAAGUAUCUUGCACAAAAUUAAAGAAUGAACCAGAAAGUUUGGAGGAGGAUUGAGAAAAUUUAUUACUUAAGGAGGAAGGCAGUACUGACCUUUUGCCAACUGAAUUUGGAAUUUGUAUCUUCACACAACUUUCCUCUAAUAAAUCAGAAUUAGCCAAGCUCAUCCAAAUGUUGCGAAAAGAAGUUCUCCCUUUGGUAUAGGUCUUGAGGUGCUUAGAAAAAUUUCUGGCAUGAAAUGGAAUAGCUUUCAUUGCAGAGAUAUUUUAGUCUUGGGAGAGGCUGGUAAUUUUGGUUGAGACUGAAAACAGGAGAUGGCCCGCAAGUGAAGUUCCUUGAUGGAGGAGAGGACUCUGAUUCUUCCUCCAAUUCGUCAGAAUACCAAAAGCCAUUGGAAUUCUGAUUAAUAAAAUUCUUGGGGCCUACCAUCUGUGUGUCAGCUUUUAAAAUGUCUGCAGAUACAUUAAGUUUGAAAAAAUCUGGUUGGGGAGGGCUAGGUGAGCUGUUUUUUGAGAUAAUAAAAUGUCGGUUGGCUGCCUUUUCUUCUUUGAGGUCUGUUUUUCUCUUUUUCUAUUGAAGUCUUUUCCCCUUCUAAGUACGUGGAGAUCCCAGCUAUACCCAAAUUUGAAUUUUUCCUUCUGAAAAUUAUUUUUUUCGGCGAGGAUUCAAGGGCUGAAACUCUUUCCGGUCGAACAAGGUUUUCUUCUUCAUCACCCAACUUCCUAAGUGCUUCGAAAGGAUUUCUUGAGAUGGAUGGGGCAUUCUGUUUGAGAAAAUUCAGGUAUCUGGGAGACCAUCACUUUGGAGCCCUUCAUCUAAAAUCACUGAAUUUAUUCUACAUAAAUCAAUAGGAUUGGAAAAAUCACUUUGAAAUAGAUCAGAUUGGAUUAUUACAGGAGCUUAUAAGGGUUCAAAAUCCCCAAAAUUAAGGGAAAAAUUUCCUCAGUUCUCACUCUUUAAUUCUAUAGUUGCUGGUAAGAAUCCGCAAAGAUUUUUCCGAACUUUAAUUCUUGCUUCAGAGAACUUGAUCAGAUUGAGUGUUUCUAAGAUUAUACUCUCUAGUCCACCAAAGUAGCUUAAGCUUAAGGCUAUAAUUGAAUUUUCUUUCAACCACCAGCUUAAACUUUUUGGUGAAUCGGUGGUUUAUAUUAUUUUAUAAAAAAAAUGUACACAGCUAAUGCCAUAUAAAAUAAAUAAAGAAAUACUAUAAAAUCUACAUCCAUAAAAUAUGCAUGUGAACACAUAUCAGAAGAUGGAUAUUUGUAAGUUAGAAAGACCGAUAACAAAAUGUCAUAAUUAAACAACAACAUUAAUAUUAUGGGUAGUUUCAAGCUUCAUUUGUCUAUUCUAGGUAGGGAUAUUGAAUAACUCUUAAAAAUAAUAUAAAGAUUGAAUCCCUAAACUUCAUGUGCUUGCUAGUAUACAACCUAAAAGUUCAACAGUUAAAGAAACUGAUUAAUCAUUUUUGGCAGGAUGUCAGAUUCGCCUUUCGAAAUCCUACAUGAGUAGAGCCAGCCAAAUAAGCCAAGCAAGAUAUGCCUCUUAAGGAAUAUGGAGAAGUUCAAUGACUGGGUAUGUAUAUGAUAAGCCUUAACCUCAAUUUUAUUUAUCAAUAAUGGAGGGAAGGAAUCAGAAGCUUCUCUAGCUCUCCCAAUUAUUCUAAGAAACCUGAUACAAGCUAUGCCAAAACAUACCCUCCCCAAACAAUCAUAAUAGCAUUUAUAUGAAAGCAUAAAAGACUCAUGGCUCCCUUAACUAGCAACAUUCAGACCAACAAAUACAGCUUCCCAUCCUCCUCUCCUGAAUCCUUUCUUGUGCCUACGGGUGUACACCUUCACUACCAUGGGCCUAUCAGUAUUUAGAGAUCGUAGAGGCUGUAUGAGCCAAGGAGUUGGAAGAGUAGGAUUAGGGAAGUGUGGAGUUUUCCGCUCUUUGUUUGGCCAAAAGUGUUUGUGGACUCCCGACAAGAAAAUUUCAAUUUUAUGCCUUAUUGACUUCGUAUGUCCUAGGCCCUAAGAGUUCAAAACUUUCUAGAUUUCACAACUUCUUGGACCACUCCUUCUGCCAAACACCCCUUUAAAGAAUACUAAGCCAAGGAUAUAAAACUUCAAUACCAUCAAUAGAAAAUCUCAUAAAAGAAACAUGAUUGAUGAAUAUUUUAGAAGACUAUAAAUUGGUACCGUACCUUCAUGAGCUGAGUUUUCUUAGUUUCGUUUGCAAUGUUCAUCAACAUAAUUUUAAAUGAUUUUCCUAAUGUGUUCUCUUCAGAAUUGAGGUCCUCUGAUGCCACAUUUACACUUCCAAAUUCUUGAUAGAAAUUUUGUGUACACUGAUUGGUUGGAUUUUUAGGAUAAAUACUUGAUAAAAUCUCAUGCUUUGAAUUGGCUAAAGAGCAUCCUUGAGAGCAGGUAUCGUAUACGUCACUUUUAGGAUCAAGAUUUUUGUUAGAAUGGGAAUGAAACUUGUCCAGAUUGACUCCUUUUACUUUCUUUGACUUUAGGGAAGAAAGUGAUGCUUCCCAAACUCUCUUUGCGCUAUGUUUAGAGCAAGAACAAUGUGUCUCAUCCAAAUUACCAAGAGUAUUGGAUAAUUCUGCAAUACUAGCUGUCGUGUUGUUCUCUAUUUCUGCAAAAGAAACCGGACCGUUGUUGUCAUGCACUGCAUCCUGGUUUAAAUAAACUGUUAUGAGAUAAUUAAGCAACAUAUGGAAAAUAAUUUAAAUUGUACUAUCUUGUGGAACAAAACCUGAAUUACACAUACCUUGAAUUUCAUUUUCUUCUCCAAGGGGCACUAAAGUUAUAAACUCGUCAUGUUGAAAAUUCAAAUUUUGAAUGGUAUGCUGAUCAGUUGCAUUUGAAACGUUGCAACCUCGAUUGGAAACACUGAUUCUUGCAGCAUACAGGGCUUCAGGCUUUAGUAGAGAAAGUAACUUUGGAAAGUCAGUUGAACACAUUGAAAUUCCCUGAAUGUGCGAAAUCCAUGGAUUUUAUUACACAUCCCAGAGGUGAACGACUUUGAGGCAUCUUGGUUAUAAUCAAUUGGUUCUCAAAGUACGCCACCUUCAUCCCCACUACAAAACUAUGUUCUGUCGAGUUGAUAGCACACUUGUUCUUUAAGAACGUCUUGAAGUUAUGGGGAGUUCCAUCAAGCAUUGUGAGUGACAGGGAUGGUAGAUUCAUUGGUACUCUCUUGAUCGAACUAUUCGCCUUCUUGGGGACACGCCUAAAUAUAUCCUUAAGCUGUCAUCCUACGACGAAUGGCCAAACUGAAGGAUUCAAUUGUAUGCUUAAGGAAUAUCUACGACAUUUUGUUGAUUCUGGACAAAAGAAUUGGGCCUAGUUGAUGGAUGUGGCUCAAUUUUGUUUUAAUGCACAAACUAGUCUAUCCACAAGAACGAGUCCUUUCGAAAUCUUGAGUGGAAGACAACCUAUACUGCCUCAUAUUUUUUAUCAUCCUUAUGCAGGAAAAAAUCCUCAAGCUCAUAACUUUACAAAAAAGUGGGAGAAGACUACGAACAUCGCUCGAGCAUACUAAGAGAAAGUCUCGAAGCGUAUGAUAAGAAGCAUCAUCCUCUCAAGUUUUGAGCGGAAGACCAACUCUUCACAGAGUCUAAAGCAAAGCAAAUUUGAUUUAGAGGACAUCAACAUCAGCAUCUCACCAGAAAAUACGAAGGGCCUGUUGAAGUUAUGAAGAAAAUUGGAAAUGCAUCCUAUAGGGUAUCAUUGCCUGCAUGGAUAAAAAAUCAUCUAGUAGCUCAUGUGAGCAACUUGAAACCUUACCACCAAGAUCCAGAUGACCAGUAGUGCAACAAUGGUGUAUGGUCAUCUAGUGACCUAAAGCAGAAAGACGAUAAAGAAAUGGAAGAAAGCUCGUAUCAUGUGUUUGUCCGUGGUUUUUUGGAUUUUAAUAAGCUAACUUGUUGUCUACGUAAAACAAGUGCAACAUAAUCGCUCCUCUCGUGUUUGAAAGCUCGCGAUUGGGACACAAGAAAUGCAAUAGCCAAGAAUGCACACGAGGAGGGCUACACGAAAUGCCAAGCACACAACCAAAGUGAGGUUCACAAUGUGCUUGUGUGUGAGGUUAGCAUGCAGGCAUGCCCAACGCACGUGAAAAGCCUCUUGUGAGAUUCACACACAGUAGCCAGCGCCCAACCAAGGCCCUGCCGCCCACCCAUUCGUGCCAGGCAGUGUCAUAUUGCAUGUUGAGCUAUUUUUGGUAAUUUUUGAGUUUUUUAAGUAUACUUUUGAUAUUUUCUUGGCAAAAGAUAAUUAAUUGUACUAUUUUACCAUUAUUUCAGGACAUGAGAAGAUCAUACAAAUUUAUAAACAAAGGAUUUGAGCUUGUAUCUGUGAGUGGAAAAUGUUUUAUUUAAAUUGAUUUCAAGCAUGUUCUUAAGUCAUGAUUUAUGACGGAUUUAUGAUAAAAUGUUUAAGUUAUGUUAUGAAAAGUCUUUCAAGCGUGUUAUUGUUUAAAGGUAUUUAUUCAAUCAUAUUGUUUGCUCUUCAAAAUGCAUAAUAUUCAAAAUGUUUUCCCACUUUCUAGGUAGAGAUCAUGUCCUCUAAGCCUAACUUGCUGCUACCUGUCUACUGAAGGAUUUCAUUUUGUUAUCAUAUGUGUCCUGUUAUUUUGUACUAAUGAUAAAUUAGUCUUCUGUGCUAUCCGACUUAGGCUUUUGGGAAGGUUUUAUAAGGUUUUGUUAUAGAUAAAUAAGAUUACGUUUUGUCUAUGUAAAACUUGUCUAAGGUUGUUAAAUGAAAAAGGCUUAGCCCAAUUGGUUUUAGUAAAAUUUAUGUGUUAUGUUUCCACUGUUGUUUAAAGUUUAAAGGUUCAGGCUAAGGGUCAGAUGGUGAAAAUGUUUUAUUUAAAGUGAUUUCAAGCAUGUUCUUAAGUCAUGAUUUAUGACGGAUUUAUGAUAAAAUGUUUAAGUUAUGUUAUGAAAAGUCUUUCAAGCGUGUUAUUGUUUAAAGGUAUUUAUUCAAUCAUAUUGUUUACUCUUCAAAAUGCAUAAUUUUUAGAAUGUUUUCCCACUUUCUAGGUAGAGAUCGUGUCCUCUAAGCCUAACUUGCUGCUACCUGUCUACUGAAGGAUUUCAUUUUGUUAUCGUAUGUCCUGUUAUUUUGUACUAAUGAUAAAUUAGUCUUUUGUGCUAUCAGACUUAGGCUUUUGGGAAGGUUUUAUAAGGUUUUGUUCUAGAUAAAUAAGAUUACGUUUUGUUUAUGUAAAACUUGUCUAAGGUUGUUAAAUGAAAAAGGUUUAGCUCAAUUGGUUUUAGUAAAAUUUAUGUGUUAUGUUUCCGCUGUUGUUUAAAGUUUAAAGGUUCAGGCUAAGGGUCAGAUGGUGUCGUUCUUGACGUGGGUGCUAUCAAUUGGCUUCACGCCAUAUCUCGAGCCACGCAAGUAGGUGCUCGUGGUGGGGUGUGAUAGCCUAAGUUGGCUUAUUAACGGUUAAAAUGUAAACAUGUCCAUAACAAAAUAGUCGGGCAAGGCCCAUGUGGACCGACUGGUAAAGGUUGAAGAGCAAAUGCUCUACCUAAUGAAAGUUCCUAACUCAAUUCGCUUCUUGGAAACCUGCCUUAAAGAAAUUUUUUAGAAAGCUGAUGCUAUUAAUUAAUCCACCACCUAAAAUCUUAAGCUAGUGAUUAAAAGUAAAUUUAAUUAUAUAUCACUAACAAUCCCCCACUUAUGGGUUCGAAAUAUCUAAAAGGUCCAACAAGUGAAAAUCAAUUUUAAUUGGGAAGGAAACACCAAUACAGGGACUUGAACAUAGGACCUUUUGGACCACCUACUCUAAUACCAUAUUAAACCCCAAAUUCACCCAAAAGCUUAAGCCGUCAUAAACCGUUAUAUACCAUAUGGACCACCUUUUGGUAAAUUUAAUUAUAUAUUACCAAAGUAUGAGGUUUCAUCACAAUACCAAUUGGCAAUGAGAGGAGUAGCUCAUCUAUUUUAUAAGGAAUCUAAGUUUCCUUGGUUUUUCAAUUGUGGGAACAUGCCCUUCAAGAUGGUGCCUCUUUGGUUUCACCUAUCUUGAACCAAAUAUCCGUUUAGGCUUAAUGAGCUCUAAUACCAUAUUGAAAACAAUAUAUACGAAACCAAAGCUUACGUGAAAACGCAAGAAUCGAAAGAAAAGCAUUGUGUUUGUAGUUUUAUUAUUUUUAUGAUAAUUACAGAGGUAUAAUUGGUGGUUUAAUAUAUAUCACUAACACUAAUGUUGCAAUGAUCGAUCAUCUCGAUGGAUUACCCAUUGAAGAGUUGUUGACAAGAGUUGACACUCUAGAAUCAAAAGUUGUAAGAACUAGAUGUUGUAAUUUAUGUCCUAAAACUCGUUGUAACCAUAAUCUAUUCAAUAAAGUCGUUAUUGAUACUAUAAUCUUAAAGCCAAUAAACUAAGGACCCGAGGUUAUUUUUUCAAGAACGGGAAGGAAGGUUAUAUCAUAUCGUGAGUUUGUUCGUGAUUUUCGGAUUUUACAUGACUGACUUAUUGACUGAGCAAAACAAGUGUUCUACAAUUGUCCGUUCCAUGUUUGAAAGAUUGCGAUUGUGGCAUGCAGAGUUUCACAAGUGUGCUUGUCCAAGGCAUUAUUUGCCUAUGGCCGCAUGCUCGAAUAUCCUCAAAGCACUUUAUCUUUAUGCUUUGUACUUAGUUUAGUCAACUGCUUUCUUUUUGUUGUCACCGACCUAAGGUGCGUCGUUUCACAAUAUUCAUAUGUAAGGUUGUCAAAGCUAAAAAAGUUUAAGAUGUAUUGUAGGGGAGGCAUGGUAGUUGAAUCCCCAACUAAGCCCUAUUGUGAUUUUUGCAAAUCUAAGCUUUCUUUGCAAUAGACAAUAUUCAAUUUUUUCUUUAAGGAUGUUGUCAAUGUUUUUCUUUAUCUCUCACAUUUUAUAAAACCAAUUUCUCUCAAAAGAUGAAGCGAGGCUACAUCGUACCACAAGUUUGUCCGCAACUUUCAAAUUUCACAAGGUUGCCUUCUUCAUCAAUUUAGAACAAGUGUUGCACAAUCGCCCGUCCCGUAUUUGAAAAGUUGCAUUUUGUGACAAGUGGUAUUAAAGCUUUGUUAGCUCCUUGGCUAAGCGAGAUGCAAUUAUGUCGACAAUGAAACAACUAUCAAAGUUGCAAUCUGAGCGACUGACUGAGAUUGAAAAGGAAUUCUUGGAUAUGAAAGAAUUGUCAAACGAAGUAAGAUUUCUCCAAACCCAACUUGAGAUGUUUAAAGAAAAAGUCAAAGAAAUAGACGCAUUGAAUGCCUAAAUAAACAAACUACCCAUAAAUGAAUUUGCGCUGAGGGUUGAUUCGUUAGAACAUAAAACCACCAAAGUAGGUAGUUUUGAACGUGGAAGUAGCUCUUCAAGUUCUAUCGCACAAAUGGAAGAGCGUGUCGAAGAGUUUGACUUUUGACAAGCUCCAACAUAAUCAGUUAUAUUUCAAAAAAGAGAAAAGUGUUUUUGCUAAAUAGCGUAUCAAUUUUCUGGGUCACAUCAUCGAAUGUAGAAAGAUUUGAAUGGACGAACAUAAGUUGUGAACUAUUAAGGAGUGGAGAGCCCCCACUUCCGUGAAAGAGUUACGUUUCAUCCUUCAAUAUAUACUAAAAUAGGGUUCACCUACUAUCCUCUAGACUCAGUACCGGGAGAAAGAAAUAGAUGGAAAAAGAAAUGGGCUUGGUGAUUUUUUUUUCUAUGUAAAUAAGAAAUAGAAAUCCAAUUUGGUACAAGAGCCCAAAUUCAAUAGCCAGCCCAUCAAAUGAGGUCAACGGCCCUAUUUAUAAGGAUUUUCCAUGCAAAAUUGCAUGUCCAUGGAAUACUAAAGCCCAAGAACUCAAAGCUCUAUUUAUAAUAUGAAAUUCGAUGGCUAUAACACAUAUACUUGUCAGUUUCUCUCUCUUCUCCCAAUUCGAACAAUUCGACUUAUUCCAUCACACUGUUUUAAGUUUAUUCCAUAUGAGCUAGCAAGGGAAACUAAUGGACCUAUAUAUCAUGGACUCCAAUGAUUCAAGAUUAAUUAACAAAAUUCGUAUAGACUGAGUUAAUCAUUAUUUGUUAACUAACGGGUCAUUCAUGUACUGGAACGAUUCAGAAUCACCUCGUUUGUACUAACUACAAAGCUGGCGGCAUCCAUAGUUUUUCUGAAAAAAUCUGGGUUACUACAACGUCACCACGAUAUACAAUUUUCCUGAUAAGAUGGUACUUACGUUCGAUAUGUUUUCCCCGUUUACGGCUUUUAGGUUCUCUUGAAUUUGCAUCUGCACCACUGUUGUGACAGUAUAAAGUGAUUGAUAGAUGAAUAUUUGGAACGACUUCAAGAUCUGUCAAGAAUUUUCUUAGCCAUAAUGGUUCUGUUGUUGCUUCAAAAGUUGCUACGUAUUCUACCUCCAUUGUGGAAUCAACUAUACAAGUUUGUUUUAUGCUUCUCCAAACUACUACUCUUCUAUUUAGAGUGAAUACUAAUCCUGAUGUAGACUUUCUAGCAUCUUUAUCAGUUUGAAAAUCAUAAUGAGUGUAUCCAGUAAGGAUCAAAUCUUUUGUACCAUACACGAGAAUGUAGUGUUUUGUUCUUCAAAGAUAUUUUAGAACAUUCUUAACGGUUGUCCAGUGAUCACGUCCAAGAUUGGACUGAUACCUACUGACCAUCCCUACUAAGUAGCAAAUGUCAGAUCUAGUACACAACAUUGCAUAUAUCAAACUUCCAACAGCGGAAGCAUAGGAAAAUUUUCUCAUAUCCUUAAUUCUUGAGGUGUCUUACGACAUUGUUCCUUUGACAAAUGAAUUCCGCAGAUGUAUAAUAGCAUACCGUUUUUGGAAUUCUACAUUUUAUAUCUAGACAACAUUUUGUCUAUAUAAGAUGCUUGAGACAUUGCUAGUGUUUUGUUCUUGCAGUUCUGUACAAUUUGGAUCUUAAGAACGUAUUGUGCAUUUCCCAGAACUUUCAUUUGAAAUUGCAUAGCUAGCCAUUUCUUGAUAUUAGUAUGAAAUCCUAUGUCCAUUUCCAAUAAGUAGAAUAUCAUCUACAUACAAGACUAAGAAUACUACAAUGGAAUUGACGACCUUUUUUGUAAACAUAAGGUUGGUCAACCUUUUGUAUCAAAGCCAUAAGAUUUGAUCAUAGUAUCAAAUCUUAUAUUCUAGGAUCUAGAUGUUUGUUUUAAUCUAUAAAUGGAUUUUUGAAUCUUACAAACCUUUUGUUCUUGAUCUUGAUCUAUAAACCCCUCUAAUUGAGUAAUAUAGAUACUCUCUUCAAGAUUGUCAUUCAAGAAAAGUUGUCUUGACAUCCAUCUGCCAAAUUUCAUAAUCAUAAAACGUGGCGAUGCAUAAGACUAUUCUAAUUGACUUUAGCAUGGCAACGAUAGAGAAAGUUUCUUCAUAGUCUAUGUUAGAAACAGACACACGCAGUGGAAAAAUGGAAUACAAAAUUACCCUAAUUGCACCUAUUUAACUUGCAACCUUAAAUUAAAAGAAUUAGGAUUUGGAAUUCGUAUCUCCAGCAUUCUCUGCAUCCCCUGCGACCUGGCAGCAUCAUCCUUACUAUUCUUAAAAACUUAUUAGAAUGAAAUUCCUCUUCACAAACCAACACGAAAUCUUUCAGCAUGAUUUUCCUCACUCACAUGCAUCCUAGGAAAAUUUCCAAGAGGUCACCCAACAUAGAAUUUCUUCAAGCUAAGCACGCUUAACUCUGAAGUCCCUAUAAUCGAGCCACAAAAAAAAAAAAAGGUUCACAUUGUUGGUAUAGGUAUUAAGUUUUAAUUAUUUUCAGUCUUUCUUAACAUGACUUUCAUGUCCUCAAGGUGCACCUUGUCGGUAUACUUGUCAAUUUCUCUCUCUUCUCUCAAUUCUCUCAAUUCGACUUAUUCCAUCAUAAUGUUCUAAGUUUAUUCCAUAUGAACUAGUAGGGAAACCUAAUGGACUUAUAUAUCAUGGGCUCCAACGAUUCAAGAUUAACUGGUUAAAUUCUUUUAGACCGAGUUAAUCAACAUUCGUAAACUAACGGGUCAUUCCACUAAAGUCUCGCAGUUGCACUCUCCCUCACUAUAGAUAUAUUCUUGUCCAUUUAAUAUAACCAUGAUCAAUAAGUUAAUCCUUCACAUGUUAUUCGUAACCUCGAAUGGAUCAAAUUAUUGUUUUAUCCUUGAGACUACAUCUUAUUUCUUAAGUCUCAUUGAUCCACUAUUGAACAAUUGGUUUAAGGUCCAACCUAUAAACUUAAUCCCUCUCAGGCUAAUGUGAGGGUGGGCCCCUUGUUCAAGACUUGGAUUCAGUGCUUAAGAGAACAACUUAUCUACUAACCCUAAAACAGGUAGAGAGUGAAUUUUGUCUUGCAUCCUAUGUUCCCAGCCAUUCAUCUAAUCUUACCCUUGAAAUAGGAGGCUUAUUGGGAGAAUGUUGAUGAGAUACCCUCACCUAUGCAGAUGUAACCCUAAAACAAGUAGAAGUGAAUUCAGUCUUAUGUAAGUACUUUACAGUGCUUAAGAGAACAACCUAUCUACUAACCCUAAAACAGGUAGAAGUGAAUUUUGUCUUGCAUCCUAUGUUCCCAACCAUUCAUCCGAUCUUACCUUUGAAAUGAGAGGCUUAUUGGGAGAACGUUGAUGAUAUACCCUCACCUAUGCAAAUGUAAGGAUAAUCUCAUGUGAACAGGAGUUCAUAGUUAGCUUAGGAUUAAGAUUAAGCUACCUAAGUCAUCAAUAAACGAAAUAGUCAGUUCUAAACAGUAAACGGUGUUAUAACGUAAAAGUGACUAUUUCAUGGAUCAGUUUUAUAUAAGUACUUUACAUAGGAUGCCCCAACUUUCAUGUCUCUACAUGAACAAUUUAGGAUCAGUUUCAACAUCCGUAGUUUCUGUAAAUUAGGCAUUAUAGACUAUUGAGGCUAUAUACUCGAACUUGAUCCACAUUUAUGUCUCGACAUAAAGUUCAAAUGUAUUAAAAAAUAGCAUUAAGACUUAGUUUAUUGGAUUUAAGAUUAUAAUUUUAAAAUUUUUAAUAACGAUUUUAUUGAACUGAAUAUGAUAACAAACUACGAGUUUUAGGACAAAAAAUCCCAACAUAUGUAUUUUUGCCUCUAAUAAUAAUGUUGAAAGAUGUUUGUUGUGGUUUCAUAUGGGUGAUAUCUCUUCUGGUUGGACAUAGUCAGGUUUUGUAAUGGGUGACUUUAACGCUAUCAAAAUGCAUUUUGAGGCUUUUGAUAGGUCUUCUAUUCCUAUGGAUAUGGAGGAGUUCGAUAUGGCUAUUUGCGAGGCUUAUUUAGUUGAACCUACAGUACAGGGUAACUGGUUAACCUGGACUAGAAAGGUUCAUGGGUCUGGUUUGAUAAAACGGUUUAAUCGUAUUCUGAUUAAUGGUGUUGGAUUACUGCAUGGCCUUCGGGUAUUUCUGAUCACUCCCGUCUUAUUUUAUCCCAACUUUUAGCAGAGACAGUGGGUAGUUUCUUUUUGUUUCUUCAACCAUUGGGUUGAGGAUUCUUUGUUUAUUGAUGUUGUCUCUUCGAUUUGGAGUCGCCAUGUAGGAGUUCCUCUGAUUGUGAGUUUCGUGAGAAAUUUACAUAACCACAAGCCUACCCUCCAUAGACAGUUUGGUAAGCACAUUCAGAGCCUAAGUGAGGAGGUUCGUAUUGCUAAAGAGUCCAUGGAUAAAGCUCAGAGAAAGGUUGGGCAAAAUCCUAUGUCUGAUGUUUUGAGUCGCCAAGCAGGUCUUGCCAUUGAGGCCUUUUGGACGACCGUUUAGAUUGGAGGAAGCCUUCAUGUGUUAGAAGUCCAAGAGGUUUGUGAGUUGCCUUAGAACUUGUGUUACCGUCCUCGAUGUUCUCCAUUAUGAUUAAUGGCUCUUUCAAGGGUUUUUUAAAUGGGAGGAAAGGUUUGCAGUAGGGUGAUCCUUUAUCUCCUUUCCUUUUUAUCAUGGUGAUGGAGGUCCUCUCUCGUAUGUUGAAUCGGCCUCGUCCGAGCUAUCAGUUUCACAGGCAUUGUGAGAAGGUUAGCUUAACUCAUCUGACCUUUGCUAAUGAUCUUAUAAUUUUUUGUGCUGCUGAUGAUUCCUCUCUGAGUUAUAUUAACGAGACUAUUCGAAAGUUUGGUGAUCUCUCGGGGCUAUUUACUAAUCUUAGUAAAAUUUCUAUGUUUGUUGUAGGGUUAAUAGUGAUGAUGUUUAUCGUUUGACUACCAGUUUGGGUUUUGUCCUCAGGCAUCUCCCUGUUCGUUAUCUUGGGCUUCCUUUACUUUUUGGAAGGUUACGACCUACUGAUUGUGCUCUCUUAUUCAACGUAUUACUAGUCAGAUUCAUUCUUGAUUUGCUAGAGUUUUAUCAUUUGUAGGUAGAUUGCAACUGGUUCAAUAUGUGUUCUAUAGUCUUCAGGUUUACUAGGCUAACGUGUUUGUGCUGCCUGUGAGUGUGCAUCAUGAGGUUGAUAAAAUCUUGAGGUCUUAAAAACCGAAAUACAUGAGUGGACCCGAACCGGUUUACGUGAACCGUGAAACAUAUAAAAACCGAAAUACAGGAAAUGGACCGAGCGGAGAUGGUCCCAUGAAAAUUGUUGGCCCAAAGGCGUGUGGGCCGAUUGUUUUGAAUGAAAACUUGAUGAAGCCCAGUGAGCCGGUAAAAGGGCUGAAGCUGAAUGGUGUGGACACAUUUACGAAUGGAAUUGGUCAUGGAUCUCUGGUUGAUGGGCCAUCGUUGAAUGAUGGGCCGCCCAUCUAACACGAAGGAGUGCUUACCUGCUGGUGCUUCAAGUGUUCAGCAUGUUGGGCAAAUUGCAGCGGCCGAAGGAUAUGGACCCGGGCUUGAUGCUAUUGCAAGUGCCCCAAAGAUUGGGUCGGUUGAUAACCGUUUGGUACUAAUUCAAAUGGUGGGCCGCUUGUUCCGUUUUGUGGGCAUGAGGUGCAGAAAUCUAAUAAUUCUGGAGGUGCAGGCAAAAAUUCAUGGGCUUCCUUAUUUGGCUCAACAAGAGGUUUCUCUAUGACCUAUACACCUCUGACUACCAUGGGAGAGAAAAUUGUGGUGACCCCGUUUGAAGAAGUUAUUAGUCAAGGAGUUAGAGUGUGGGAGAACUCCCUCAUCAGCCAAUUAAUUGAUGCAAAAUUGCCGUAUCUAGUCAUCUAUCGUCUUAUAGAGAAGAUUUCGGGUAGAAUUGAAAUGCCAACAACUACUUUGAUGGAGAAUGGGCUCAUCUGCUUUCAAUUCAAACAUCUGAAGUCGAUAAAGUGGAUCUUAUCCCGGGCCCAUGGCACCUUGGAGGCAAACCUAUGGUCCUCCGCAAAUGGACUCCAGGUAUAGUUCCUGAAUCCUUUGUCUUUGAUUCAGUUCCUGUUUGGAUAAAGUUAGGGAGGAUUCCGUUGGAGCUAUGGACGGAUGCUGGUUUGGCUGUUGUAGCGAGUGCAAUAGGAAAACCUCUUUCUUAUGCAACGUAUAUGCGUGGAAUUGAAUGUGGACAGUAUUAUGCUUGCCGAAGUAACAGUCAACCUUAGAGGAGAGGAAUUUAUUGUAACUGUCACUUAUGAGUGGAAACCAAAAAAAUGUAACUUAUGUCGAUCUUUUAGACACUCGCAGAACACCUGCCCUAAGAAAAGAAGCAAUGAAGGUAGUAAAAAGGAAGCUGCAAGUAAAGAGGUUCCUGUUAAAGAGGUUGUUCCUACUAAAGAGGUGGUUCCAGAUUGUGGGGAGUAUGGAGAUGUUGUGUUGGAAUCCUUCCAACACAUGGAAGAAGGAGAAAUUAUUACCCAUAAACUGGCUGAAAAGGUGGAGGUAAAUCAGGAGGAAUUUACCCUAGUUGACAGGAAAAAUAGGGGAAUGAUCUCUAUUCGGGACAGAGGGAAAAGGGCGGAAGUGAGUAUCCCUAACUCCUUUAACAACCUCAUGGAGGUGGAUAAAGGAGAUAAAUGGCCUUUAUCUAUAGUGGAUGGCUCCCCUCCUCCCUUACGAUUAGAUGACUCUUCUAUGGGCCUUUUGAGUACUACAAGUGAUGUAAUUCCUAUGGGAGAGGCGACUCCCAUACGACCUCAUAGUUAGUUAGUGUACGUGGAACGUGCUGGGCCUUAUAGACCUGUAAAGUGUAGAGCGGUGAACGACUUCUUAGCCGUGUCUACGGUGGGUUUCUGUUGCAUCCUGGAGACUAGAGUUCGAGAGGAGAACUUUGUCUCGAUAUCUAGAAGAUUUGGUGAUUCGUGGGGGUUCAUUAGUAACUACAAUAAUAGUGGAGUAGGUAGGAUAUGGGUUAUGUGGAAACGUAACAGAUUCAUGUUCACGACUAACGAUGUUAUUGACCAGUUUAUUUCCGAUGUAAUAACAGAUUUGAUCUCUAGGGAGAAGGUAGAGGUUCUGUGUGUGUAUGCCUCUAAUAGUAAUAUCGAGAGACGUGUUUUAUGGAGGCGAAUGGCUGAGAUCUCUACUGGUUGGAAAGGACUGGGUAUGGUCUUGGGUGAUUUUAACACCAUCAGACUCCACUCUGAAGCCUUCGGGGGUGCUCCGAACGUGGGGGAUAUGGAGGAGUUUGACAUGGCUAUUUGAGAGGCAGACCUUGUUGAACCCGCGGUCCAAGGGAACUGGUUUACUUGGACUAGUAAGAUACAUGGGUCGGGUUUGAUGAAGAGACUUGAUCGUAUCCUAGUGAAUGAUGAGGGGCUUAGUACAUGGCCUAACAUGAGGGUUAACGUCCUCCCGUGGGGUAUUUCUGAUCAUUCUCCCAUACUUGUCUAUCCCAGUAAUCAGCGAAGCCAACAAGUGGUCUCUUUUCGUUUCUUUAACCAUUGGGUUGAAGAAGCGUCCUUUAUGGAUGUUGUGUCCUCUACUUGGACCAAAGAUACUAGAGUUUCUCCAAUUAUGAAUAUUGUGAGGAACUUAAGAAAUCUCAAGUCGAUUCUUCGCAGACAUUUUGGUAGGCAUAUCCGAAUCAUCAGUGAGGAUGUUCGUCUUGCCAAUGAAACCAUGGACCGAGCUCAAAGAGAGAUGGAGAUGAACUCUCUGUCGAAGGAGGCGACUAAUCACGCGAGCUUAGCCAUGGUAAACUUUUGGAAAGCGAUUAGAGUGGAGGAAGCCGCUAUGCGCCAGAAGUUGCAAAUCAGUUGGUUGAAGCUAGAUAACCAGAAUACUGCCUUUUUUCAUCGAUCUGUUCGAUCAAGGCAGAGCAGCAAUGCUUUGAGAUCAGUUAUUGACCUAGAUGGAAAUCGGUUGACUAACCAUGAUCAGGUGACUCAGGUGGUAGUGAAUUAUUUCAAAGAUAGUCUGGGUUCUCAGAAUAUUAGCUACAGAGCUCUCUACUAGUAUUGAGGAGAUUGUUCAGUUUAGAUGGACUGAGGAGUGUUGCCAGGCCCUCCAGCGUCGCCUAUUGGCAGGGAGGAAGUGAGACGUGUUCUGUUCUCCAUGGAUGGUGGAAAGGCUCCAGGCCCUGAUGGGUAUUUAGUUGGCUUCUUCAAAGGAGCUUGGACGGUGGUUGGAGAGGGUUUCUGUGAUGUCGUCUUACACUUCUUUGAGACCAAUUACUUCCCUCAAGGGGUGAAUACGACUGCUAUUACACUUAUUCCUAAAAGGAAUGGUUGCUGAUCGAUUGGAGGAUUUCAGCCCUAUAUCUUGUUGCAGCGUUAUUUAUAAGUGCAUUUCAAGAAUAUUGGCAGAUAGGCUUCGUGUGUGGCUUCCUUCUUUUGUUAGUGGAAAUCAGCCAGCUUUCAUCCCUGGGAGGAGUAUUAUUGACAAUAUUCUUCUUUGUCAGGAGCUUGUAGGGGCAUACCAUUUGCACAGAGGUAAACCUCGGUGCACUAUGAAGGUUGACCUCCAAAAAGCUUAUGAUUCUGUUAAUUGGGAUUUCCUCUUUGGCCUGCUGAUUGCCAUAGGUACGCCUUUAAGAUUUGUGAGUUGGGUUCGAGCGUGUGUGACCUCUCCGAUGUUCUCCAUUAUGAUUAAUGGAUCGUUGGAAGGUUUUUUCCAUGGGAGGAAAGGACUUAGACAAGGUGACCCUUUAUCCCCGUUCUUAUUUGUGAUGGUCAUGGAGGUGCUUUCUCGCAUGUUGAACAGCCCACCUCAGAAUUUUCAAUUCCACCAGUUUUGUGAGAAGGUCAGAUUAACUCAUCUUACUUUUGUAGAUGACCUGAUGAUCUUUUGUACUGCUGAUAAUCAUUCUAUGAGUUUCAUAAAAGAGACUAUUAAGAGGUUUGGUGAGCUUUCGGGACUGUUUGCUAAUCUUGCUAAAAGCUCAAUUUUUCUUGUGGGGGUUAAUAGUUCGAAAGCUUCUCGGCUUGCUGCUAACAUGGGUUUUUCCAUUGGUCAUCUCCCUGUUCGUUAUCUUGGGCUUCCUCUCCUCUCUGGAAGAUUGCGGAGCUCUGAUUGUGAUCCCCUUAUUCAGCGUAUUACCAGUCGUAUUCGGUCUUGGUCUGCUAGAGUGUUAUCUUUUGCAGGUAGACUUCAGCUUGUUCGCUCAGUCCUUAGGAGCCUUCAGGUUUAUUGGGCUAGUGUGUUCAUGCUUCCUAUGAAAGUCCACAGAGACGUUGAUAAGAUCUUGAGGGCUUAUCUGUGGAGAGGUAAGGAGGAGGGAAGAGGUGGUGCUAAAGUUUCCUGGGAUGAGGUUUGUCUUCCUUUUGAUGAAGGAGGUCUUGAUAUUCGCGAUGGAUCUUCUUGGAAUAUAGCAAGCACAUUGAAGAUAUUAUGGUUGCUACUUGUUAAAUCUGGUAGUUUGUGGGUUGCUUGGGUGGAAUCUUAUAUCCUUAAAGGGAGAUCGUUGUGGUGCUUUAGGGAAAUCUUGCGUAAGCGGGAUAUCCUUAAAGCUCAUGUUAAGAUGGAGGUGGGCAAUGGAAGGAAAUGUAGAGUGUGGUUGGUUCCAUGGAUUCAGAGUGGGCCGAUUAUCCAGCAGUUUGGGUAGAGGGUGAUCUAUGAUGCGGGUAGUCCGUGGGAUGCGAGGCUGGUGGAUUUCAUGGGUCGGGAUGGUGAUUGGAGGUGGCCGCUUGUUUCUUUGGAUUUUGAUGGACAUUUGGGAUAGGGUUCAGGGAGUGAGGCCGAGUCCGAGUGUUGAGGAUAGGUGGGUCUGGGUGCCGGGGAGUCAUGAUAGUUUUUCGAUCACCAGUGCGUGGGAGACUAUUCGUCCUCAUAGUAGUAGGGUUGGUUGGUCGGGUUUACUAUGGGGUGGGGGAAAUAUUCCUAAGCACUCUCUUCUGUGCUUGGUUGGCCAUCAGGGAUAGGUUGGGUACUAGAGAUAGGUUAAGUCGGUGGGAUAGGUCGAUUCCUUUAUCGUGUUUGCUUUGUGGAGGGAACUAUGAGUCUCGUGAUCAUUUGUUUUUUUCUUGUCAUUUUGGGUGGGAGAUUUGGUCGAGGAUCCUUUUGCUUAUGUCAUCUUCUCAUAGAAUCGGUUAUUGGGGGUUGAGUUAUCUUGGAUUUAUAAUCAGGGUAUUGGGAAGAGUGUGAGGAGAAAACUGUGGCGCCUUCUCUGGUGUGCUACAAUUUAUUUCAUUUGGCAGGAGCGAAAUCAUCGUCUUCAUGGAGGUGCUUCGGGAGCCUAUGGUUGUAUUCCAGCUCAUUCGGUCGUGUAUUAAAGCGCGUGUGCUGCUUCUUGGUCGGAUGGUGUUCAUGGUCUUAUUUAAUGUUCUUUUCGUUUGCUUGUCCCGGGCUGUGGGGUUUCUCUUCUCUUUAUUAACUUUGUUGUCUUUCUCUCUUCUUCUUGUCCUUUUAAUGUUUGGAACACUAGUUGGUUUCUUUUGGUUUUAGUUCUUGUUCCCGAGAUGUGGGGUUGUUUUGGGUACUUAUGGGUUGUUUUGUCUAACUACUUGUUCUGUGAGUGUUGUUCGCUCUUUUGUCUUGACCUCAGGCUGUGAGGUCCACCUUGUUGUUGUAUAAUAUUAUCAUUACCUUUUCAAAAAAAAAAAUCAAACUCAAUGCUAAGUUUGACUGCUCCCUUCGAAGUGACAACAAGCCUCGUUUUCGCCCUACUGUGGAUCGAGGAGGAUUCCUCCUCUUUUCAAAGCCCUCAAUCAAACUUGACGUUAUGUUUAAAACACUAAAAAUAGAUGGUCUAGUUUUGGUUAGGCCAAAAGCGAUGUUUUCCCCCAAAAGCUCUAAUAGCUAGGGAACUCAACAUGUUCUACUUGACCUAACCGACUUGACUCUGUAUUUUUUAUGAGCUUUUUUUAAUGCAUAUUGCAUAUGUUUUUUUUUUUAUAAUUGUUGAUUGUCUCACUUUUUUAUGGUCUGCAUUUACGAGCCUCUUUUCUUUCUUUGUUAUGAACUGCGCGUAACUAGGCAUUGCUAGAACCGAUGGGGUAACAUUUCUAUGGUUCUACACUUAGUUUCUAAGUGUGAUUGCUCACCUCUAAUUUUCAAAACACUUAAUUUCUAAGCACAUACAAUGUUCACCUAGAAAAAAUGAAAAUUGUUGUAGUUAAGAUCAAAACUAAAUAGUUAUGAAAUAAGACAUAAGAGAUUUGAUUUUAACAACCUUCCCGUUGUACUUGGGAUCCACUCUGGCUUUGUGCUGGAAAAUUGGUUUGGAGCUGAUCGUAAGCUUUCGGUUGCUCUUCUGUAACCUUUAGAUACUCUUCAAAGCUAUAAGCUUUGCUUCCUGACGAAAGAAUCUUCUACUAUUACAAUACAUAAGAAAAUUCUAUUUCAUAAAUCCUGUAUCAUAAUUGAGGCAAAUAGAAUGAUUAUUCUAUAACCCUACCGAUAGUUUCAUUCUUAACAUUCAUAGACAUGAUGCAUGGCAACUAUCCAAUUCUAUUUCAUGUUCUCGAGAAUGGCUCGGUUUAACAAUAAUGUUAAUUUUUGUUUUCUAUUUCAAAAUAACAACGCUGCUUACUAACUCUCAAUUUCAUCGAGACCAAUUUCUCACUCAAACAUGGUCUUGCAUUCUCUAGAAACGUCCUACAAACAAAAAUGAAGAACAAAAACUACAAUAAGGUCUAUGAAAAAGUUACAAAGGAAAAUCUCAAAAACUGAUAUGUAAGUCAUAACAACCUUAAGUCCUGCUUAUCGUGGUUUAAAAUGCAGUAAGGUUUUUCCAAGAGUCCGAGCAACUAGCAUGUAAAUAAGUUAAGUCAACUAAAUUUGCUAUAAAUUUACUCGUAUUAACAUUAUCAUUGUUAUAGACUUGACAACUUCAAAUUUAUCAAUAUAAAAUAUGCUUUAACAAAACGUACCUUGAGGUUCCUCCAACCUUAUUAAAAAAGCAAAUAAUCCAACAAUUUAACAAAUUUAUAGUGCAUAUUAUGUAUAUCAAUUGAUCACAACAAAAUAAGAUCGAACAAAUACCCAUGAGUAAUAUUUAGCCACCAAAUGAAUAAUGAUGAAAACCUGAAAACAAAACCGAGAAAAAAAAGGAAACAAUUCAUCAACAAAACAAAUUUAGGGGACUAAAAAAUUGCUUACCUUAUUACACACUUCAAAAUAUUAAGAAAAGUGGAGGGAAAAAACCAACCAAUAAUCAACAAAUAAACUUCAACACAAAUAGCCACAAAUUUUCUUCUUUAAAGGUAUCACAAAUAAGUCCAUCAGUAAUAACAAAAUAAAAAAGGGCAAUGUGCAAUUGAAUUAUACAGUCGUAAAGCUAUGCUAAAGGCACUAUGAAAUCAAACUUGAGCACUAACAAGAAAAUUUGCAAAACAAAAAUUACUAGACAUCAUUAACUAAAGUACCAGCACAACAAUGAAUGUGUAACCUCCGCAAGAGCAAACCCGAAUGGAGAAGAACAUGAAGAAAUAUAUAAAUAGAAGAAACAUAUGAGUGAUGAUCGGCGAUCAACUCCUCAACCUCUAAUUACAUUUAAAAGAGUGAUGCGAACAUUGUGUGAAAUCCCAAACCUUUGAUGGAUCCCACCAUCACUCUCUUUCUAUCCCCUUCAAAACCUCAUUAUUUUCAAGAGAGGCCUCAAAGCUUCUUCCAAUUAACAUAAAAGAAGAAUGAAAGAGAAGGAGAGAAAGGGAAAGUGGUUCAAAAGCUAUGGAAAAAAAAGUAAAAGAAAAUGGUCUACUCAUUGGCACAUCUUACACAGAUGAUAAUGUUAGGGCAAGGCAAUGAGAGACAGAAUGCUUUUGGAGCCUUCUCCUCUACUUUCGAAGAUUUUAACAAACUAAAAUAUGCAAAUGUUACAAGAAAGAUCUUUGGAGAUUUGAAAUAAUCCAAAAUAAAGAAAAAGGAAAACCCCAAUAUGUACAAAUUUCAGAAUCUAAAACUUGAAAAGUGAUUGAAUGAUGAGAUAUGUUUGUACAAUCAAUUAUAGAGACAGUGAAAUAUUAAAACAAAAAUGAAACGUACCAAGAUAAAAAGAAUAGCAACUAGUAUUAUGACCUUUGUAUGUCUUCAAAAUACAAACAUCAAAAUGAAUCAAGAGAUCUACCACACAAAUAAUGGUAUCAACACAAAUAAAGCAAUUGUUUUAGUAACAAUAUUUGAGUACAAUUAAACUAAGCAUGCUAUUGUCCUUGACAAAUUU